CAUGGGGCAGAAUGGAUUGCCACGCUGCUGUGUGAGCUUCAAAUCCAAGCCUAGGGCUUUUCUCAUGGGUGGCCAGAGACUGCUGCCAGAGAGCUCACUUCGAGGGCCUGCCACAGCUCCCAGGAUCCCGCCUUACAGCUUUGGCCACUUUCCCUAAACUGUUCCAGUUCAAAUCCAGUGUAGAGCCUUCCAUGCUGCAGAUGGACCUGAGGCCUCCCUGUCUUCCAGAAUGGGAAAGAGUUCACAACAAUUAUCCACUUGUUCAAAUGUCUAUACAGUUCUAAAGAACCACGCCUGAUGGAAAGCCCAGAGACAAGGCUACAUUUGCAGCUAGGAGAGACCACGAGACCUAUGCCUGUACAUGGAGAAGCUUACCUGGUAGCAGCUUCGGAAAAGCUCCACAGCAGUGGGGAAAGGAGUGGGUGUUACAUACGACACAGGGUGACUGCAGAACCUUACCUCCUCCUACUGUCAAGAUGAAGAAUUUAGAUUUUCUGGCUGGAGUUUCAGCAGCCAUUUUGGUCUGUGGAGUCAUCUGGGGAA